UACGUAGGGGGCAAGCGUUGUCCGGAAUUAUUGGGCGUAAAGAGCGUGUAGGCGGUCCGGUAAGUCGGCUGUGAAAGUCCAGGGCUCAACCCUGGGAUGCCGGUCGAUACUGCCGGACUAGAGUUCGGAAGAGGCGAGUGGAAUUCCCGGUGUAGCGGUGAAAUGCGCAGAUAUCGGGAGGAACACCUAUGGCGAAGGCAGCUCGCUGGGACGUUACUGACGCUGAGACGCGAAAGCGUGGGGAGCAAACAGGAUUAGAUACCCUGGUAGUCCACGCCGUAAACGAUGGGCACUAGGUGUGGGAGGUGUCGACUCCUCCCGUGCCGGAGCUAACGCAUUAAGUGCCCCGCCUGGGGAGUACGGCCGCAAGGCUAAA
rnacentral:rRNA from 1 species